rnacentral:rRNA from 1 species
UACGGAGGGUGCAAGCGUUGUCCGGAAUCACUGGGCGUAAAGGGCGCGUAGGCGGCUCGGUAAGUAGGCGGUGAAAUCCUGCGGCUCAACCGCAGGGCUGCCUUCUAAACUGUCGAGCUCGAGCACGGUAGAGGCAGAUGGAAUUCCCGGUGUAGCGGUGGAAUGCGUAGAGAUCGGGAGGAACACCGAUGGCGAAGGCAGGUCUCUGGGCAUUAACUGACGCUGAGGAGCGAAAGCAUGGGGAGCGAACAGG